AAAUUGAAGAGUUUGAUCAUGGCUCAGAUUGAACGCUGGCGGCAGGCCUAACACAUGCAAGUCGAACGGUAACAGGAAGCAGCUUGCUGCUUCGCUGACGAGUGGCGGACGGGUGAGUAAUGUCUGGGAAACUGCCUGAUGGAGGGGGAUAACUACUGGAAACGGUAGCUAAUACCGCAUAACGUCGCAAGACCAAAGAGGGGGACCUUCGGGCCUCUUGCCAUCGGAUGUGCCCAGAUGGGAUUAGCUAGUAGGUGGGGUAACGGCUCACCUAGGCGACGAUCCCUAGCUGGUCUGAGAGGAUGACCAGCCACACUGGAACUGAGACACGGUCCAGACUCCUACGGGAGGCAGCAGUGGGGAAUAUUGCACAAUGGGCGCAAGCCUGAUGCAGCCAUGCCGCGUGUAUGAAGAAGGCCUUCGGGUUGUAAAGUACUUUCAGCGGGGAGGAA
rnacentral:rRNA from 1 species